rnacentral:rRNA from 1 species
UACAGAGGGUGCGAGCGUUAGUCGGAAUUACUGGGCGUAAAGCGUGCGUAGACGGUUAUUUAAGUCGGAUGUGAAAGCCCCGGGCUCAACCUGGGAAUUGCAUUCGAGACUGAAUAGCUAGGGUGCGGUAGAGGGAAGCGGAAUUUCCGGUGUAGCGGUGAAAUGCGUAGAUAUCGGAAGGAACAUCAGUGGCGAAAGCGGCUUCCUGGACCAGCACCGACGUUCAGGCACGAAAGCGUGGGGAGCAAACAGG